CUCUGAGUGGUGGUGUGUCACUUGCUGAAGUCCCAUUCAAGCUUGGAAUGAAUACAUCUCCAAAGCAGUGGACCUCUGGGCUCUGAGUGGUGGUGUGUCACUUGCUGAAGUCCCAUUC